AGAGUUUGAUCCUGGCUCAGGAUGAACGCUAGCGGCAGGCCUAAUACAUGCAAGUCGAACGGUACCUUCGGGUACAGUGGCAAACGGGUGCGUAACGCGUAAGCAACCUGCCCUCUACCGGGGGAUAGCCUGGCGAAAGCCGGGGUAAACCCGCAUGGUCCCAAGCAACCACCUGGUUUCUUGGGUAAACAUUUAUGGGUAGGGGAGGGGCUUGCGUCUGAUUAGUUAGUUGGCGGGGUAACGGCCCACCAAGACUUUGAUCAGUAGGGGUUCUGAGAGGAUUGGCCCCCACAUGGGUACUGAGAUACGGACCCAACUCCUACGGGAGGCAGCAGUAGGGAAUAUUGGGCAAUGGAGGCAACUCUGACCCAGCCGUGCCGCGUGCAGGAUGAAGGCGCUCAGCGUCGUAAACUGCUUUUAUCUACGAAGAACGGCAGAGAUGAGUCUUUGUGUGACGGUAGUAGAGGAAUAAGCACCGGCUAACUCCGUGCCAGCAGCCGCGGUAAUACGGAGGGUGCAAGCGUUGUCCGGAUUUAUUGGGUUUAAAGGGUGCGUAGGUGGCGUCUUAAGUCUGGUUUGAAAGCAGGCGGCUCAACCGUCUGAUGUGGCUGGAAACUGGGGUGCUUGAAUGCGUUGGCGGUAGCCGGAACGGGUCAUGUAGCGGUGAAAUGCAUAGAUAUGACCCAGAACACCGAUUGCGAAGGCAGGCUACUAGGACGUGAUUGACACUGAGGCACGAGAGCAUGGGUAGCGAACAGGAUUAGAUACCCCCGUAGUCC
rnacentral:rRNA from 1 species